rnacentral:rRNA from 1 species
UCGGGAAUUUUGGGCAAUGGGCGAAAGCCUGACCCAGCAACGCCGCGUGAAGGAUGAAGUAUUUCGGUAUGUAAACUUCGUAAGAAUAGGAAGAAUAAAUGACGGUACUAUUUGUAAGGUCCGGCUAACUACGUGCCAGCAGCCGCGGUAAUACGUAGGGACCAAGCGUUGUUCGGAUUUACUGGGCGUAAAGGGCGCGUAGGCGGCGUGGUAAGUCACUUGUGAAAUCUCCGAGCUUAACUCGGAACGGUCAGAUGAUACUGCUUUGCUAGAGUGCAGAAGGGGCAAUCGGAAUUCUUGGUGUAGCGGUGAAAUGCGUAGAUAUCAAGAGGAACACCUGAGGUGAAGACGGGUUGCUGGGCUGACACUGACGCUGAGGCGCGAAAGCCAGGGGAGCAAACAGGAUUAGAUACCCCCGUAGUCCCUGAGCGGGCUGGCAAGGCGCAU